AGCCUGUGCCCAGCAGCCCCUGAGAACCACGUCUGCUCUGAGCUGGGUACUGCCUGUUCAGAACAGACGCUGGUUCCCAGACGCUGCCAGCUGGCCCCGUUCCUCUGGAUU
ensembl:miRNA